UUUGGACUUCAGGGACCAAUUUAGGCUGUGCUGGGCCCCAUUAUUGGUGUUCGGAUGGGGAAAAAUUGAAUUUGGACGGCUUGCCACACUGGAAAGGCGGCCAAUUACCAAUGGAGGCGGCCGGAAACUGUAUUUUCAUCUAUCUGGCAAACGUCACUGCGAAUGCGUCAGUGCUGGGAGCUGACGCAUGCUCGGCGCAGAAACAGUUUCUCUGCGAGGUUGGGGCUUUCCAGAAUGAUAAAAAUUUACGCGCAGUAAUUUUUAAUUAGGUUCUUGAAAGUGGAAACAAGUCAGAGCAAAUCAGAAAGGGUUGCCAGGAGACUUGGGGAGUUACUGAUCAAGAAGUAGACAAGCAGAUUUUAAACUCCUCUGCCUUAAUGGCACCGACUAAAAUAAAUUUGAAGUGCUACAUCAAAUGCUGCGGAAAGCGCGGCAUAGCGAUCAAAAGCGGUCAAUUGGCCUCGGAGAAAAUAAUUCGCGAUUUGGAAGACCAGACCUUUGAUAAUCUAAACUUGUUGCAAUCUUCAUUUGAAGGCUAUGGCAAAUGCUCGG